AUGUUAGCUUCAGCUCCACUGCUGCUGCUGGCUCUCGCCCCCUAUGUGUUCUGUGCUACUGAGCUCAUCCAGCCAGACUCACUGCUUAUAAAGCCAGGAGAGACUUUAACCAUCACCUGUAAAGUGUCUGGAGCUUCUAUCACUGAUAGCAGCAGCCACUAUGGAACAGAUUGGAUUCGACAACCUGCAGGAAAAGCUUUAGAAUGGAUCAACACCAUUUAUUAUAAUGGUGAUAUUUAUAAGAAAGAUUCACUUAAAGACAAGUUUGUCGUCUCUCGAGACACUUCCAGUAACACUGUGACCUUACGGGGACAGAACAUGCAGACUGAAGACACAGCUGUGUAUUACUGCGCUCGUGAUCCACACAGUAGAUGGACAGGCCGGGGCCUGGCCUGCGCCGCCGGGAUGCUCGCGCUCACCUCCGCGGGAUACUGCGCGUAUCGCUGGCUGAAGAGGAGCAGCGAUCUUCAAGCUGCUGAACUUCAAGCUGCUCACGGAUCUGUUGUUGAUGAUGUGGAGGAAGCCGAGACCACCGAGUGUAUUCUUUAG